UUGGCAAGAAAAUCUUCUGGACUGAAGCACAAAGGUGCAUUGUAGCCUAUAAGGGAGGAUCAGACUAAACUGGAAUGUCUCCUAUUUUGCAAUUUUCCAAAUAGAAGGGAUUAUUUUCUACCAGGGCUACUACAUUGGACUGCAAUGAGCUGGAUGAACAUCCGAUGCCACAGUGGCUAAUAGCCAAGGAAUCUGCUUGCAUUUUGAAGAAGACCCAAACAGAGAGAUUGCCUAAAGUUCAAGGGGAAAAGUGAAGGAUUGUGACAGUCAUCCUAGAAAUGAUGUCACUGUAAAUAAGUCAGUUAUGGAAGAUGCAGACAGAGAUUGGUGACAGUCAAGCAAAAUGAGCAAUAGCCAUGUGCACAUCUGCAAUGAAGACAGAAAUUGACAAUAAAAGCCUAGUCUGGAUAUUUUA